rnacentral:rRNA from 1 species
CCUACGGGAGGCAGCAGUCGAGAAUCAUUCACAAUGGGGGAAACCCUGAUGGUGCGACGCCGCGUGGGGGAAUGAAGGUCUUCGGAUUGUAAACCCCUGUCAUGUGGGAGCAAAUUAAAAAGAUAGUACCACAAGAGGAAGAGACGGCUAACUCUGUGCCAGCAGCCGCGGUAAUACAGAGGUCUCAAGCGUUGUUCGGAAUCACUGGGCGGAACGCGUGCGUAGGCUGGUUCGUAAAUCGUGUGUGAAAGGCGCGGGCUCAACCCGCGGACGGCACAUGAUACUGCGAGACUAGAGUAAGGGAGGGGGAACCGGAAUUCUCGGUGUAGCAGUGAAAUGCGUAGAUAUCGAGAGGAACACUCGUGGCGAAGGCGGGUUCCUGGACAUUAACUGACGCUGAGGCACGAAGGCCAGGGGAGCGAAAGGGAUUAGAUACCCUUGUAGUC